rnacentral:rRNA from 1 species
UACGUAGGGGGCGAGCGUUGUCCGGAUUUAUUGGGCGUAAAGAGCGUGUAGGCGGCCACACAGGUCUGCUGUGAAAACUCGAGGCUCAACCUCGAGCUGUCGGUGGAAACCGUGUGGCUAGAGUCCGGAAGAGGAGAGUGGAAUUCCCGGUGUAGCGGUGAAAUGCGCAGAUAUCGGGAAGAACACCCGUGGCGAAGGCGGCUCUCUCGGGACGGUACUGACGCUGAGACGCGAAAGCGUGGGGAGCGAACAGG